rnacentral:rRNA from 1 species
AUUGAACGCUGGCGGCAUGCUUUACACAUGCAAGUCGAACGGUAACAGGUUAAGCUGAUGAGUGGCGAAAGGGUCAGUAAUGCAUAGGAACGUGCCCGGUCGUGGGGGAUAACGCAGCGAAAGCUGCGCUAAUACCGCAUACGAUCUGAGGAUCAAAGCGGGGGACUCAAAGGCCUCGCGCGAUCGGAGCGGACGAUGUCAGAUGAGGUAGUUGGUGGGGUAAAGGCUCACCAAGCCAACGACCUGUAGCUGGUCUGAGAGGACGACCAGCCACACUGGGACUGAGACACGGCCCAGACUCCUACGGGAGGCAGCAGUGGGGAAUUUUGGACAAUGGGCGAAAGCCUGAUCCAGCAAUGCCGCGUGCAGGAAGAAGGCCUUCGGGUUGUAAACUGCUUUUGUACGGAGCGAAAAGGUCUCCUCUAAUACAGGGGGCUCAUGACGGUACCGUAAGAAUAAGCACCGGCUAACUACGUGCCAGCAGCCGCCGUAA